AGUGAACGCUGGCGGUAGGCCUAACACAUGCAAGUCGAACGGCAGCACAGUAAGAGCUUGCCCUUACGGGUGGCGAGUGGCGGACGGGUGAGGAAUACAUCGGAAUCUACUUUUUCGUGGGGGAUAACGUAGGGAAACUUACGCUAAUACCGCAUACGACCUACGGGUGAAAGCAGUGGAUCUUCGGACCUUGCGCGACUGAAUUAGCCGAUGUCGGAUUAGCUAGUUGGCGGGGUAAAGGCCCACCAAGGCGACGAUGCGUAGCUGGUCUGAGAGGAUGAUCAGCCACACUGGAACUGAGACACGGUCCAGACUCCUACGGGAGGCAGCAGUGGGGAAUAUUCGACAAUGGGCGAAAGCCUGAUCCAGCCACACCGCGUGAGUGAAGAAGGUCUUCGGGUUGUAAAGCCCUUUUGUUGGGAAAGAAAAGCAGUAGGUUAAUCCCCCGCUGUUCUGACGGUACCCAAAGAAUAAGCACCGGCUAACUUCGUG
rnacentral:rRNA from 1 species